rnacentral:lncRNA from 1 species
GAGCGAGCGGCGGGUGUCCCUGAGAGGCCACCUUUCGACCUUCGAGGGCCAGGAGGAUACGGGGAGGUGGCCGGAGGGAGUUCCCGAACACAGGUCUUCCUGUUCCCGCCGAGCAGGUGUUGGCGGUGCCAGGCCCGGCCUGGCGGGCCCGGGCUGGCAGCCAAAUACCCAGCGUCUGUGCUCGGGACGGGAGUGUUCGUCCAGGACGUGCAGCUCCGGAGCCUGCGCGGGCGACCUUGACCACCUUUGUCGGCUGUUUCCCCCUGAGGGAAGUAUACCUGUCCUGCCAGCCUUGGUCUCUGGCAGGGAAGGUCCUUCCAACAGAGAGGGAAUUGCUUAGAAUUGACUCAACACUGCCUCCUUGCUGAAUGGAUAAUUCAAGCAAACAACUCAAGAGCUGGAUGCUGCCCAGACAGGUAGGCAGCCAGAUAAAGUGAGUGUCCAGGGAAAGAGCAGUAAGGGUCAGAAGAGAAAGAGCCUGGUGUUCUCACUGCCUCCUGCCUUCCUUAUGACUGUCUGUUCAGAAGUCCUCCUAGCAUCUUUCUUCUGCCUUCCCCUGCUCCUGUCCCUGAAACCUUUUCUUCAAAAGAAGUGGAAAAGAGGAACUGGGAACCCAUAUAGCAACAGCAUCACCUGGAAUGAAUUCCUUUAGAACAUACUGUCUUGGAAAUCUGAAGCCUGCAGGGCUGGACAGGCAAGAAGAGCAGUGAGCACUGCAUGAACCUCACCCUUGAACUUCUAUAUGGUCUCCAAAGACAUGAUAAAUACAGAGAUUGCUCUCUCCUCUCAACUGCAACAGUAAUGAUUCCUUUGCAUUUUAAUUAAGUCUUUUACACAUGAAUAAGUCUUUAUCCUCAAAUGGACUAAAGACUCCUCGAGGACAAGAACUAUCCUUCAGUCCCAUACAUUGGUUACCUGGCAAAGGACCCUAAAUGCAGAUUAUGAAGUAGCUAUGGAAUUUGAAUGGGUUGAUUCUUCAGCUCCCAGAAAAAAACUUUGAUUGGUUUAACUGGCCACAGUAAUUGAUGUGGGAAUGAGGCCCUGACAUAAUUUCAACUUAGAAGACAUGUUCACUGGAAGUGAACUAGGAAGCAUGAAGUCUCAGACAUUCGACACUGAAAGAAUAAGCAGUCUUAGGAUGAAGGCAGUGCUAUGGACACCAGAACUCCAUGGUUCAGGCUGUUCAGCAUCAACUGUUCCUGACAGCCACCCUAACGUGCCUCCAGUUUCCUGGGCCAACAGAUGCCUGUCAUUGUUGAAGUUUCUUUGAGUUGGGUCUUCCGUUACUUACAAUUUAAAUCACCCUCACUGAUUACUAUGUACUUAAUUGUUCUCCUCCACUCUCUGCCAAUCCAUAUGCUGAAGCCUUAACCCCCAACGUGAUAGUAUUUGGAGACUGGAACUUUGGGAGAUAAUUAGAUUUAGAUGUGGUCAUGAGGAUGGGACCUUCAAGAUGAGAAUAGUAUCCUUAUAAAAAGUGGUACUAGAAAGCCUCUCUUUCUCUCUCUCUGCCACGUAAGAACACAGCAAGAAGGCAGCCAUCUGCAAGCCAGGAAGAGAGCCCUUACCAGAACUUGACCAUGCUGACACCCUGAUCUCAGAUGUGCAGCCUCCAGAACUGCAAAAAAGACACAUUUUCAUUGUUUAAGCUACCUAGUUUAUGGUAUUUUGUUACAGCAGCCCAAUCUGACUAAUACGCUGAUACAGGCAUAUUAGGGUACAUGCCACCAGCAGAGUGGUUCAACUGCAGGUCCACACUUACCCAGUGAAGGUGACUCAGCCUAGAGUGUGACUCAGUCUCUUCCCAACCCUGUCCGCAUCACCCCUGGAAGAGUCAGCUCCUCCCACAACUGCAGUCCUGACAGCAGCAUCAUGCCUCUGAAAUGAUCUUGCAAACAAGCUGUCAUUGGAGUGCUGAGAGAGUGGCAAUAUCAACUAAAAACAUGAAGAAGAAGAGCAACAAAGAGGAGGAAGAGGAGGAGAAGAGGGAAAGAAGUGAGGCGCUGUGGUGAAGAAUAGUACUUCUCAUCUCCACCAGAACAGCAGAGAACAAUGAAAGCACACCAUCAGGACGUCUCAGGGUACAGCCAGAAAAGCCAUUACCAUUUGUGCCAAUAUCUUUGAAAUCUUGUAUUUUGUCAUAAAAAGUUAUGCAGUUUCUGU